rnacentral:tRNA from 1 species
ACAACUGUGUCAGAUAAAAUGAGUUAUGUUGAUGUCAUAAAACAUACCCCCAUGGGUCAGUUGUA